rnacentral:rRNA from 1 species
GUGGGGGAUAUUGGACAAUGGGGGAAACCCUGAUCCAGCGACGCCGCGUGAAUGACGAAGGCCUUCGGGUCGUAAAGUUCUUUCGACAGGGAAGAAAAUGCCUAUAAGUAACUGUGUAUGUAUUGACGGUACCUGUAUAAGCAGCCCCGGCUAACUCCGUGCCAGCAGCCGCGGUAAUACGGAGGGGGCGAGCGUUGUUCGGAGUGACUGGGCGUAAAGAGCACGUAGGCGGUGUUGUAAGUCAUUAGUCAAAGACUAGAGCUCAACUUUAGUAAGGCUAGUGAUACUAUAAUACUAGAGUAUCAGAGAGGAUUGCAGAAUUCCUGGUGUAGCGGUGAAAUGCGUAGAUAUCAGGAGGAAUACCGUUAGCGAAGGCGGCAAUCUGGCUGGAAACUGACGCUGAGGUGCGAAAGCGUGGGUAGCAAACAGGA